rnacentral:tRNA from 1 species
UCCGGCGUAGCUCAGUGGUAGAGCAAUCGGCUGUUAACCGAUGGGUCGUAGGUUCAAUCCCUAUCGCCGGAGCCA